AAGACUAUACUUUCAGGGAUCAUUUCUGUAGUAUCCAACUAGAGAAAUGCACUCAAAAGUGAUCAGCUGAGCUGAGC
rnacentral:snoRNA from 1 species